ACUGAGGAGUCCCAUAAUAGGACGAAACGAUCGUCU
rnacentral:hammerhead_ribozyme from 1 species